rnacentral:rRNA from 1 species
GUGGGGAAUAUUGGACAAUGGGCGCAAGCCUGAUCCAGCCAUGCCGCGUGUGUGAAGAAGGUCUUCGGAUUGUAAAGCACUUUAAGUUGGGAGGAAGGGCAGUAAGUUAAUACCUUGCUGUUUUGACGUUACCAACAGAAUAAGCACCGGCUAACUUCGUGCCAGCAGCCGCGGUAAUACGAAGGGUGCAAGCGUUAAUCGGAAUUACUGGGCGUAAAGCGCGCGUAGGUGGUUCAGCAAGUUGAAGGUGAAAUCCCCGGGCUCAACCUGGGAACUGCCUCCAAAACUGCAUGACUAGAGUACGGUAGAGGGUAGUGGAAUUUCCUGUGUAGCGGUGAAAUGCGUAGAUAUAGGAAGGAACACCAGUGGCGAAGGCGACUACCUGGACUGAUACUGACACUGAGGUGCGAAAGCGUGGGGAGCAAACAGGAUUAGAUACCCGUGUAGUCC